rnacentral:tRNA from 1 species
GCGCUCGUGGCGGAACUGGCAGACGCACCAGACUUAGGAUCUGGCGGGCGACCAUGGGGGUUCAAGUCCCUCCGAGCGCACCA